AGUUUGACUGGGGCGGUACAUCCGUCAAAUGGUAACGCGGGUGUCCUAUGGUGAGCUCAGUCAGGACAGAAACCUGGCGUAGAGUAAAAGGGCAAAAGCUUACUUGAUUUUUACUUUGGGUUUGUGGAUCAUCACCAAAUUAAAAUGAAACAAGAUUAUAUUUCCCUUCCGAUUUUGACACAUGUAUUAACUGAUAUCAG
rnacentral:ncRNA from 1 species